UUUCCUCUACUCUGAGCAACACCAGCACAUCUUUAGGAUGGAACAAGCGCCAGCACAACUUCUAUCAAUUCACUGGCAAUGCAUGAAUCACAAAGAGUUUCAUCUGAUUGACGCAGCAGGAUGUGGAUGCCCUCUUGCCUACCCCCUCUUGCAUGGAGUGCCAGCGAGUACAAGGUGCAACUCAAACUUACCCCAUUCUCAAGAAUUGAAAAUCCCAUCAGACGAGGACUGCAUCGGCGCGUUGAUGAAGUGAUCUGAUCGCUGGCCAUCGUGCAUUUACACCAAAGCUUUCAGAGCUGUGGGGCACAUGGAUAAAAAGUAACAUGGUUUAUACAGACACGUUAUAUCUGCCCCUGCUGUGCCACGCCAUGCCCGGUACAGAUGCCUCUCAAGUGGCAGCAUCAGCCUAAUUGUGAUUGUUUUUGUAGCAUCAGAAUCCAAUGUGUACACAUGAUGUUUGCAUGAAACUGCACACACAUUUAGGUCAGGGGUAAGGAAUUUCCAGGCACCUGUGUUUGUAUAGGCAGAAAGGGGCCAGGUCUCUAAAGCAGUAACAAUGCUGAAAGAUUGGUUUAGCGCUUAGCAUGGGGCGAAGUAUUCUCUACAAAAGAUAUGUUGGUUUUAUACUUACUUUUAACUAAAUCCUGUAUUUAAACCAAUAGUGUUAUAUUGUUAUAUAGUGUUUAUUAUAGUUAUUAUAUAGUAACAAAUAGCACUGCACAGCAACAGUGUAAAUACAAAAAUAAAAUCCUUUAUGUAUUGGCUGUAGUUACGGGCGUGAAACUGGCCUCUUUUUCCACGAAAAUUAACUGAAAUACACUGUAGGCAAAAGCACGGUGAAAUUACACUGUGGAUACGCCCCCAUAUUGAGUCAAUCCC